rnacentral:rRNA from 1 species
CAGCAGCCGCGGUAAUACGUAGGGUGCAAGCGUUAAUCGGAAUUACUGGGCGUAAAGCGUGCGCAGGCGGUUAUAUAAGUCAGAUGUGAAAUCCCCGGGCUCAACCUGGGAACUGCAUUUGAGACUGUAUGGCUAGAGUGUGUCAGAGGGGGGUAGAAUUCCACGUGUAGCAGUGAAAUGCGUAGAUAUGUGGAGGAAUACCGAUGGCGAAGGCAGCCCCCUGGGAUAACACUGACGCUCAUGCACGAAAGCGUGGGGAGCAAACAGGAUUAGAUACCCCAGUAGUCCCUGUCUCUUAUAA